GUCAUACGGCAAGCUACUAAGGUAAGAUAACUUAUAUAAGAGUCUGGAAAAGUGAUAAGGUUGAGAGGAUCUAUCCUUUGAGUGAUUAAGGCAUACUUUGCAUUAUGUAUUUCCUUUGACGGAACAUUGACUAUUGCUCUUUCUUUUUGUUUUGUUUACUCUGUUGCCUUCUGGAGGACUAGCCUGGCUUUGAAUCUGACUCAGGAAAGAUAAGUAAUUUCGUCACCAUCUGAAAAUAAAAAAGAAUUUGAUGAUGAUUAUGAUGAUUACAGUUCAAGUAAAGUUUGAGAUACUGACUAUUGCUCUUUCUUUCAGGUUUAUUAUACUAUGUUGCCUUCUGGAGUGUGCUUAAUUGGAAUUUACAAGCACCUUAAAGACUAGCUUGGCUCGGAAAAGAUAAGUAAUAUUGUCACCAGCAAAAAAGAAAACAUAAUUUGGUGAUGAUAAUGAUAAAAUGUGAUAAUUUCGUUACUUGAGUGUGUUUCUUGCAGAAGAAGAAAGAGACGGCAAAGACAAAGAUGAAGAACCCAAAAAGCCUUGUUUCAUCAUUCUUUCGAUCCUGCAAAACGCAAGAAUGAGUUUGUCAAGAAAAGCAUCACGAGAUCAACAGUUCAACUCUUACCGCCCUAAUUUUAUUCAAAUAAAAUGGAAAGUAGAGAAUUAAGAUUUAAUUCAUUGUUAGUGAAAUUGAUUAGUUGGGUAAAAAUCUUUUUAGGAACGAAGAGAGGCAAAUUUAUAAUGGAAGAGCUGGGACUUGAUGGACGCAUACAUGAAGUAAGUGGAAGCCUUUAAAACUGGUGGAAGAGUAUCAAAAGUAGAUCCUUUGAAGCGCAAACAAUGCAAAGAACCAGUGAAGAGUGCAAUUCUCAAGAACAACAUGAUAAACAGAAGUGGAAAUUUCCUUCUCUCAAAUACAAAUCUCUUGUGUAAAGACUCUUAUCUCGUCCAUUCCUCCGGCUGUGAUAUGGCCAAAGCCAAGAUUUUCUAGACAGUUCAAUGCCAUUUGAUUGCAGAGGCUUUAACUUCAAUGACAUAUCAUAGACGAGGGAAGGCUUCAGCACCACACUGUAGAAUAUGUCCUAAUCACAAUUUUCUUAUGGUUGUUGAUGGAUCUUGUACUUACAAGGUUGGUGAUACUCGGCUUCAUAUGAUUGUUGUGAUUCCUUUCCCAUCCUCUCGCAUGACAUCUUAUCGUAUUGUGAUAGUUAGUUCUCCAACUCAUCCUUUUGUGAGUCUUCUUAUUUUAUCAUACUACUUAUCCAGUUUAAGAUGCUAAUGCCCUGUGGUUGAUCUCAGAUAUUUUUGUUUGCCUUUUCUUGGCUUCUUGAUCAGUUUCCAAAAUGAUAUCCCGUUAACAGGAAGACUUGGCUUGACAUGCUCCUCUCCAUAUUUUAAGGUUGGUCUUUCUAAGUUUAUGCUCCUCUCCAUAUUUUCUGCAAUAUAUUUCUUUCCACACAAUCUUUUAUAAUCAUUUAUAUGCCUCGUUGCAGGAUGAGUUUAGCAGGAGAAAUAUGGGAACGACUUUUUUCGAUAAAAGCUUGAGUGACACUUAAACAGCGCAUGCUUCUAUAUAUGGUUUCCAGUAACUUUGUUCGACCAUCUGAUACUUUUUUGUUUGAGCGUCAGACAUGUGGUAGAGCUUCAAUA